rnacentral:rRNA from 1 species
UGUAAGCGUAUACCAAAGUUGUUGCAGUUAAAACGCUCGUAGUCGGAAUUUGGCAGUUCCGGAUGUGUGCACGUCGUGUGCGCACUUCGCGGGGAUUGCUUUUGUGGUCUUGCGUAGGAUGAGGCACUUUUAUUAGUGAACGUCCUCACGCAACCACUUUUUACUGUGAGAAAAUCAGAGUGCUCAAAGCAGGCAUUCGCCGUGAAUGUAUUAGCAUGGAAUAAUAGAAUAGGACUUGGUUCUAUUUUGUUGGUUUGUUGGGACUGAGUAAUGAUUAAGAGGGACAGUUGGGGGCAUUUGUAUUUCGGUGCUAGAGGUGAAAUUCUUAGAUUACCGAAAGACAAACUGCUGCGAAAGCGUCUGCCAAGGAUGUCUUCAUUGA